CAAUCUCAGAGGAAGCAAGAUGUGACUGCCCCGCCAAAAAAAGCCUAGGUAGCAAGCAUUAAGAGAACAUCCAUGAUUCCAUACAAAACAAGGACAGAAGCUGUGCUGAAGACCAGGAAAAAUCUUACAACCGUCCUAGACAUCAGCCCUCUGCAUGACCAGGAAAGGAGUCUAGUAGCCGGAAGCGGAGCCGGAAGCAAGGGAGAGAGAGCAGGGCUGAGUUUCUCUGACCUGCCUUAAGCUUGCGGUCUUACUACAUCAGCCUCCCAAGAGCUGUCCUUCAGUUUCCUCAGGCCUCAGGCCCAGAGCACACCAAGGACCACCAUGGGAAGACUUGGUGGAAAAAGCAUCCAGUUGGCAACUAGCCACGAUUGUGGUAACUUAGGUGCCUGGGAAUUAGGACAAUGAUCCAGCUUCUCCCUGCUUGUGUUUCUAUGAGGAAAAAACAAUCAGGUUCUCACCUUGAAAGUAAUGGAUGGCCUGUAAACUCUGUAAUUAGUUUAGGCAUCAAAUUUCUUAGCUGCUUAUGAAAAUA